rnacentral:lncRNA from 1 species
UUUUUAAAUAAUAUAAAAAUAUAUAUAUAUAAAUUGAAUUGCAACAACUCAUUUUUUUUUUCUUUCAUUUAUGGCAACACAUUACAACAUUACAGGCUGUAAAGCAACCCAUCAAUCCUCAGCCAAGUCAUUUCAAAGUCAAUCCUCAGCCAAGUUAUUCCAAAGUCCAAGACACCAUCUUCUUCCUUACGCACGCUUCCUCUUCACACGCAUCAACACAAUCUCCUGAAAAAAAAAAACAAUUUUAUUAUCAAAAUCCUCUGUAAACAUAAUAGAAACCAGGUUACUUUUAACAUUUCUGUAAUAAAGGACAUAAAAAUUAUUUCCCUAAUAGUACAUUGCUUAAGAUUUGUUGCAAAACCAAUGAAAAAUCCAGCUAAAAUUAGUGCGAAACAAUACAAGAUCUAGAACUCGGUUUACCUAAUAAACAAAAACAUUCACUGGUUUACCUAUAAAUUGAUGAAAAAUCAAGAAAAGAGGGACAAAAAAAACAAAAACAGAGGUUCUAAAUUUUGAAAUAGAGAGAAGAGGUUCUAGAUUUUGAAAUAGAGGGAAGAGUUUCUUUUUUUGUUAAGAGAGUUCGAUUUUAAACACUAAAACAGACCAAGAUUGAAUUUUUAUCAUUGUUAUCCAAACAAACAGAGGACAACUUGAAGAAGAGUUAAGGUAUUUUCGUUUUUUUUCAUUUAUAUUUCCUAGUAAUGAAAGUUAUUAUUGUUAUAGAUUUGAUUGAGAAGUAUUAGAAGGUUAGAAAGGAUAGGACUCAAACCUUGCUUGUUUUGGCCGCCGUUUUCUUUCUUCUGGAUGCGCUCAUCCUUCUUGAUUUUGUCUGGUUUGUGUUCUACAAGCAAUAG